rnacentral:lncRNA from 1 species
AUGAUGAUCUAUGCAACAUGAUCCUUAAGAGUUGUUAGAUUGAUCGGCGUGGUAACACAAAAGGUCCAAAAACGAAUAACUAUCUCAUUCGCCGGAGUUUCCAGCCAUUUCUUCCCGAUUCUCGGAUUUUUCUUGGGAAUCAAACGCGUCGCCGAGAAUCGGAAGAGAAGGAAAAGGGUAUGACAUCGAGAAACCUGAGGUUGUUCAAUCGGAGAUUCUUCGACCGAUCUCCACAGCGGUUAAGAGCUUUCCUUAAUCCGAUUUCUGUUAUUUGCUUGUUUGGAUUUGGUCUCCAUGAAUCUGUCACUACAAAGUCUUACUUUUUUGUUUAUGAUGUAUUCGCAGGCUUGGUGAAGGAUUGCCCUGGCGUGCGUAAAGAUCUUCGAAUCCCGGAAGAGAUGCAGCUUUCAGCGCAGACUACGAGGAAUAUAAGAGGAUAGCCAAGAGAGGUUCGCUGUUCGCAAUAGUCGUCGUUUGUCUUGACAAUUGGUGCUAGGUGAAGUAAGUUUCAGAACAACCACGAUGACGACUCCUAGGGAUUUCACAACCACCAGGUAUGUUUUCUUUACUUUUUUUUUUUUAAUCAUAAAUCAUAAUAAUUCGAUUUUUAAAAAUAAUAUUUUUUACUAAAAUUUAAAACUUAAACUUAAAAAAAAUUUAACAAUUUUUAACUAAAACAAUGUUAAUUUCACUAUUAUUUUUUUUAAAUUAGUUUAAGUGUUAAAUUUUAAAAACGUCGAAAACUAACCGCGCCUAGACAUCCUGUCCUUAGUUGGUCUAUAAGCUUUGGUGUUCGAAGUUCGGAAAGUUUUCACGUAAUAUAGAUUUCACACUAAAACUCAUUUUUAAAAAAUAAAAAUAAUUUCUACUAAAAUUUAAAACAAAUUUAACAUUUAAACUGAAAAAAAAUUAAUAAUUUUUAACUAAAAUCAUGUUAAUUUCACUAUGACUUUUUAAAAAUUAGUUUAAAUGUUAAUUUUAAAAAUGUCGAAAACUAACUGCGCCUAGGCAUCUUGUCCUUAGUUGGUCCGUAAGCUUUAGUGUUCGAAGUUUGGAAAUUUUUUUAAAAAUAAUAAUAAUUUUCACUAAAAUUGAAAACAAAUUUAACACUUAAACUUUAAGAAAUAAUUAAUAAUUUUUAACUAAAAUACAAUGUUGAUUUAAAUAAAACCAUCUUAAAAAAAAUAAUGAUUUUAAUUUUUUUUAAAUAACACUAAAGCUUUAAGAAAAUAAUUAAUAAUCUUUAGCUAAAACCAAGUUAAUUUCACUAUUACUUUUUAAAAAUUAGUUCAAGUGUUAAAUUUUUAAAACUCAUUUCUAAACUCAUUUUUUAAAAAUAAUAAUAAUUUUCACUAAAAUUGAAAACAAACUUAACACUUAAACUUUAAGAUAUAAUUAAUAAUUUUUAACUAAAAAACCAUGUUGAUUAAAAUAAAACCAUGUUAAAAAUAAUAAUGAUUUUAAUUUUUUUUAAAUAAAAUUAAAACUUUAAGAAAAUAAUUAACAAUCUUUAACUAAAACCACGUCAAAUUACUUUUUAAAAAUUAGUUACAGUGUUAAAUUUUAAAAACUCAUUUUUAAACUUAUUUUUUAAAAAUAAUAAUAAUUUUCACUAAAAUUGAAAACAAACUUAACACUUAAACUUUAAGAAAUAAUUAAUAAUUUUUAACUAUAAAACCAUGUUGAUUUAAAUAAAACCAUGUUAAAAAGAAUAACGAUUUUAAUUUUUUUUAAAAAUAACAAUAAAACUAUUAAAAAAAUAAUUAAUAAUCUUUAGCUAAAACCAUAUUAAUUUCACUAUUACUUUUCAAAAAUUAGUUCAAGUGUUCAAUUUUAAAAACUCAUUUUUAAAUUCAUUUUAUAAAAAUAAUAAUAAUUUUCACUAAAUUUGAAAACAAACUUAACACUUAAACUUUAAGAAAUAAUUAAUAAUUUUUAACUAAGAAACCAUGUUGAUUUAAAUAAAACCAUGUUAAAAAUAAUUAUGAUUUUAAAAAAAUUUAAAAAAUAAAAUUAAAACUUUAAGAAACUAAUCAAUAAUCUUUAACUAAAACCAUGUUAAAUUACUUUUUAAAAAUUAGUUCAAGUGUUAAAUUUUAAAAACUCAUUUUUAAACUCUUGUUUUAAAAAUAAAAAUAAUUUCCACUAAAAUUGAAAACAAACUUAACACUUAAACUUUAAGAAAUAAUUAAUAAUUUUUAACUAAAAAACCAUGUUGAUUAAAAUAAAACCAUGUUAAAAAUAAUUAUGAUUUUAAAAUUGUUUUAAAAAAUAAAAACAAAACUUUAAGAAAUUUGGUAGAAGAAAUCCAAAUAAACACGAAAUCCAAAUUUUUAUUUCUAUAAAAUAAUAAUAAAUCUCCCUAAAAUUUAACACAAAUUUAACACUAUAAGCUUUAAAUCUUUUUUAAAUAAUUUUUAACUAAACUAUGUUAAUUUCACUAUUAUUUUUUAAAAAUUCGUUAAGUGUUAAAUUAAAAAAAUGUCGAAAAGUAACCGCGCAUAGGCAUCCUGUCCUUAGUUGGUCCGUAAGUUUUGGUGUUCGAAGUUCGGCAUGUUUUCACAUAAUAUAGAUUUAACACUUAAACUCAUUUUUAAAAAAAAAAUAUUAAUUUUCACUAAAAUUGAAAACAAAUAUAACACUUAAACUUUAUGAAAUAAUUAAUAAUUUUUAACUAAAAAACCCAUGUUGAUUUAAUAAAACCAUGUUAAAAAUAAUAAUGAUUUUAAUUUUUUUCUUAAAUAACACUAAAAUUUUAAGAAAAUAAUUAAUAAUCUUUAGCUAAAACCAAGUUAAUUUCACUUUACUUUUCAAAAAUUAGUUCAAUUGUUAAAUUUUAAAAACUCAUUUUUAAACUCAUUUUUAAAAAAUAAUAAUAAUUUUCACUAAAAUUGAAAACAAAUUUAACACUUAAACUUUAAGAAAUAAUUAAUAAUUUUUAACUAAAAAACCAUGUUGAUUUAAAUAAAACCAUGUUUAAAAUAAUAAUGAUUUUAAGAAAAUAAUUAGUAAUCUUUAGCUAAACGCCUAAACCAAUGGUAAUUCCACUAUUACUUUUUAAAAAUUAGUUCAAGUGUUAAAUUUUAAAAACUCAUUUUUUAAAAUAAUAAUAAUUUCACUAAAAUUGAAAACAAACUUAACACUUAAAAUUUAAGAAAGAAAUGAUAAUUUUUAACUAAAAAACCAUGUUGAUUAAAAUAAAACCAUGUUAAAAAUAAUUAUGAUUAGUUAUCAAAAAAAAAAUAAUUAUUAUGAUUUUAAAAAUAAAAUUAAAACUUUAAGAAAUUCGGUAGAAGAAAUCCAAAUUUUUAUUUCUAUAAAAUAAUAAUAAAUCUCCCUAAAAUUUAAAACAAAUUUAACACUUUAAGCUUUAAAUUUUUUUUAAUAAUUUUUAACUAAACCAUGUUAAUUUCACUAUUACUUUUUAAAAAUUAGUUAAGUGUUAAAUUUUAAAAAUGUCGAAAAGUAAUCGCGCCUAGGCAUCUUGUCCUUAAUUGGUCUGUAAGUUUUGGUGUUUAAAGUUCGGCGUUUUUUCACGUAAUAUAGAUUUAACACUUAUACUCAUUUUAAAAAAAAAAUAAUUUUCACUAAAAUUGAAAACAAAUAUAACACUUAAACUUUAAGAAAUAAUUAAUAAUUUUUAACUAAAAACCCAUGUUGAUUUAAUAAAACCAUGUUAAAAAUAAUAAUGAUUUUAAAAUUUUUAAAAAAAUAACACUAAAACUUUAAGAUAAUAAUUAAUAAUCUUUAACUAAAAUCAUCUUAAUUUCACUAUUACUUUUUAAAAAUUAGUUCAAGUGUUAAAUUUUAAAAACUCAUUUUUAAAAAAUAAUAAUAAUUUUCACUAAAUUGAAUGAAAAUUUAACACUUAAACUUUAAUGAAUAAUUAAUAUUUUUUAACUAAAAAACUAUGUUGAUUUAAAUGGGGCUUUUGCAAAAAUACCCCAUUUUUCAAUGCCACUUUUCAAAAAUACCCCUUCUUUAAAACUUUAUAAAAAAUACUCUUAAAAAUAUAAGAUUUACCCAAAUAUGUAUGUAACAUUAUUAAAACAUACACAAACUACAUUUCUAUGUAUCUAAAAUCUUAUAAAUACUUUAUAAAUACCUUAUAAAUACAUUUUAAAUACCUUUAAAAACCUUUAAAAUAUCUUGUAAAACCUUUGAAAAACCUUAAAAAUCCUUUAAAAUAACUUGUAAAACCUUUAAAAAGACCUUAUAAAACCUUAUAAAUACUUGGAUCGAGUCUUCAAGUAGUAGUUACAAUCCAUAAGUACCUUAUAAACCUAAUAAAACUUUAUAAAAAUUUCAGAUUUAAAAAAGGGCAUUUUUUAAAAUGGACAUCUA